AUUGAACGCUGGCGGCAGGCCUAACACAUGCAAGUCGAACGGUAGCACAGAGAGCUUGCUCUUGGGUGACGAGUGGCGGACGGGUGAGUAAUGUCUGGGAAACUGCCCGAUGGAGGGGGAUAACUACUGGAAACGGUAGCUAAUACCGCAUAACGUCGCAAGACCAAAGUGGGGGACCUUCGGGCCUCACACCAUCGGAUGUGCCCAGAUGGGAUUAGCUAGUAGGUGGGGUAACGGGCUCACCUAGGCGACGAUCCCUAGCUGGUCUGAGAGGAUGACCAGCCACACUGGAACUGAGACACGGUCCAGACUCCUACGGGAGGCAGCAGUGGGGAAUAUUGCACAAUGGGCGCAAGCCUGAUGCAGCCAUGCCGCGUGUAUGAAGAAGGCC
rnacentral:rRNA from 1 species